rnacentral:rRNA from 1 species
AUACGAAGGUCCCGAGCGUUAUUCGGAAUCACUGGGCGUAAAGAGUAUGUAGGCGGUUUGGUAAGUCAGGUGUGAAAUCCCGGAGCUCAACUUCGGAACUGCAUCCGAUACUGCCGGACUAGAGUAAUGGAGAGGCAGGUGGAAUUCUCGGUGUAGCAGUGAAAUGCGUGGAUAUCGAGAGGAAGACCAAUGGCGAAGGCAGCCUGCUGGACAUUUACUGACGCUGAGAUACGAAGGCUAGGGGAGCGAAAGGGAUUAGAUACCCCGGUAGUCC